rnacentral:rRNA from 2 species
GAGCGAACGGAUAAGGAGCUUGCUCCUUUGAAGUUAGCGGCGGACGGGUGAGUAACACGUGGGUAACCUACCUAUAAGACUGGAAUAACUUCGGGAAACCGGAGCUAAUGCCGGAUAACAUAUAGAACCGCAUGGUUCUAUAGUGAAAGAUGGUUUUGCUAUCACUUAUAGAUGGACCCGCGCUGUAUUAGCUAGUUGGUAAGGUAAUGGCUUACCAAGGCGACGAUACAUAGCCGACCUGAGAGGGUGAUCGGCCACACUGGAACUGAGACACGGUCCAGACUCCUACGGGAGGCAGCAGUAGGGAAUCUUCCGCAAUGGGCGAAAGCCUGACGGAGCAACGCCGCGUGAGUGAUGAAGGUUUUCGGAUCGUAAAACUCUGUUAUUAGGGAAGAACAAAUGCGUAAGUAACUGUGC